ACCAAGGCGACGAUGGUUAGCUGGUCUGAGAGGAUGAUCAGCCACACUGGAACUGACACACGGUCCAGACUCCUACGGGAGGCAGCAGUGAGGAAUUUUGCGCAAUGGGGGAAACCCUGACGCAGCAACGCCGCGUGAGUGAUGAAGGCUUUCGGGUCGUAAAGCUCUGUCAAGUGGGAAGAAUCUGUACGGUAUUAAUACUAUCGUGCACUGACGGUACCACUGAAGGAAGCACCGGCUAACUCCGUGCCAGCAGCCGCGGUAAUACGGGGGGUGCAAGCGUUAUUCGGAAUUAUUGGGCGUAAAGAGCGCGUAGGCGGUCUUGUAAGUCAGAUGUGAAAUACCGGGGCUCAACCCCGGAAGUGCAUUUGAUACUGCAGGACUUGAGUAUGGGAGAGGGAAGUGGAAUUCCUGGUGUAGAGGUGAAAUUCGUAGAUAUCAGGAGGAACACCGGUGGCGAAGGCGACUUCCUGGACCAAUACUGACGCUGAGGCGCGAAGGCGUGGGUAACAAACAGGAUUAGAUACCCUGGUAGUCCACGCAGUAAACGUUGAUCACUAGGUGUAGCGGGUAUUGACCCCUGCUGUGCCGCAGUUAACGCAUUAAGUGAUCCGCCUGGGGAGUACGAUCGCAAGGUUAAAACUCAAAGGAAUUGACGGGGGCCCGCACAAGCGGUGGAGCAUGUGGUUUAAUUCGACAACGCGAAGAACCUUACCUGGAUUUGACAUCCCGGGACCGCCCUUGAAAGAGGGAAAUGCCCUUCGGGGAGCCCGGUGACAGGUGCUGCAUGGCUGUCGUCAGCUCGUGUCGUGAGAUGUUGGGCUAAGUCCCGCAACGAGCGCAACCCUUAUCUUUAGUUACCAUCAUUUGGUUGGGGACUCUAAAGAUACUGCCCCGGUUAACGGGGAGGAAGGUGGGGAUGACGUCAAGUCCUCAUGGCCUUUAUGUCCAGGGCUACACACGUGCUACAAUGGACUGUACAAAGGGUCGCAAUCCCGCGAGGGGGAGCUAAUCCCACAAAGCAGUUCUCAGUUCGGAUUGGAGUCUGCAACUCGACUUCAUGAAGUUGGAAUCGCUAGUAAUCGUGGAUCAGCAUGCCACGGUGAAUACGUUCCCGGGCCUUGUACACACCGCCCGUCACACCAUGAGAGUUGGUUGUACCAGAAGUUGUUGGACUAACCCGCAAGGGGGGUAAACACCUAAGGUAUGGCUGAUGAUUGGGGUGAAGUCGGAACAAGGUA
rnacentral:rRNA from 1 species